UCCCCGAAACGGUCUGGGUUUAAGCGCCCGUUCUGCAUCCUCACGCGCCCGCAUGGCGGUUGCGAGUCCGGCUUCGGUGUCCACUGGUGUCCAGUCGAGGGCAUGCCCUUACGAACCAGGUUCUUUCAGACCAGCCAGAAGGGUUCCUUCCUCUAGAAAUAAGUGUGUGGGCCAGGACUCUGGGCCACGACUGGGUGACUAGUUCUUAUGGCGAUGACAAGAAAAACUAACCAGUAUACGGGAUCUCACUAUGUAGCCCAAGCUGGCCUUAAACUCCCAGUAAUUCACCUUUUUCAGACUACUGAGUGCUGGGGUUGCAAGCAUGCACCACUACACCUAGCCUGGACUCAUCUUUCAGAUACAUGAAGUGCUGGACACUUUGUGGAACAGAAGACCAUCUCUGACCUGAGAAGACCCAGCCUGGGAGAUACUUCCCAGAUAGCACUGUCCUGAAGAGGUGUGGUUUGGAGCUCUUCAGAGCACAGAUGGAAAGCCCCCAGUCAGCCUGGAUCUCCACCCAUUCCCCCAUGAAGAUCACCGCGUGACCUUAGUUCGACAGCAGAUUGCUCUUGACUUUCAUGUUUAUUACUUCCAUGAGGCUUGCAAGUAAGGAAAUAUAAAAACCCCAAGUUCAA